rnacentral:rRNA from 1 species
UGGGGAAUAUUGCACAAUGGAGGGAACUCUGAUGCAGCGACGCCGCGUGAACGAAGAAGGCUUUCGAGUCGUAAAGUUCUUUUAUAUGGGAAGAUAAUGACGGUACCAUAAGAAAAAGCCCCGGCUAACUACGUGCCAGCAGCCGCGGUAAUACGUAGGGGGCUAGCGUUGUCCGGAAUCACUGGGCGUAAAGGGUUCGCAGGCGGAAAUGCAAGUCAGGUGUAGAAGGCAGUAGCUUAACUACUGUAAGCAUUUGAAACUGCAUAUCUUGAGAAGAGUAGAGGUAAGUGGAAUUUUUAGUGUAGCGGUGAAAUGCGUAGAUAUUAAAAAGAAUACCGGUGGCGAAGGCGACUUACUGGGCUCAUUCUGACGCUGAGGAACGAAAGCGUGGGUAGCAAACAGG